rnacentral:rRNA from 1 species
GGGUACACGAGUGGCGAACGGGUGAGUAACACGUGGGUAAUCUGCCCUGCACUCUGGGAUAAGCCUGGGAAACUGGGUCUAAUACCGGAUAUGAGCUUCCAUCGCAUGGUGGGGGUUGGAAAGUUUUUCGGUGCAGGAUGUGCCCGCGGCCUAUCAGCUUGUUGGUGGGGUAAUGGCCUACCAAGGCGACGACGGGUAGCCGGCCUGAGAGGGUGAUCGGCCACACUGGGACUGAGACACGGCCCAGACUCCUACGGGAGGCAGCAGUGGGGAAUAUUGCACAAUGGGCGGAAGCCUGAUGCAGCGACGCCGCGUGGGGGAUGACGGUCUUUCGGAUUGUAAAACCCCUUUCAGUAGGGACGAAGCGCAAGUGACGGUUACCUGCAGAAGAAGCACCGGCCAACUACGUGCCAGCAGCCGCGGUAAUACGUAGGGUGCGAGCCGUUGUCCGGAAUUACUGGGCGUAAAGAGCUCGUAGGCCGGUUUGUCGCGUCGUCUGUGAAAACUCGGAGCUUAACUCCGGGCGUGCAGGCGAUACGGGCAGACUUGAGUACUACAGGGGAGACUGGAAUUCCUGGUGUAGCGGUGAAAUGCGCAGAUAUCAGGAGGAACACCGGUGGCGAAGGCGAGUCUCUGGGUAGUAACUGACGCUGAGGAGCGAAAGCAUGGGUAGCGAACAGGAUUAGAUACCCUGGUAGUCCAUGCCGUAAACGGUGGGCGCUAGGUGUGGGGGUCUUCCACGAUCUCCGUGCCGUAGCUAAA